rnacentral:lncRNA from 1 species
CAGGCCAGGCAUGGGGGAAGCCGGCGGGUGCAGGGGAGUGGAGGGAAAGGGGAGAGCCGGCCCCAGGAACCUGGUGACAGUGGAGACGGCCGCCCUCAGUCAUGCCCGCUCCUUCCCUGGGCCCACGUGACCAUCCUUCUCUGUGAGCUCGAGGACACCCCGUCAGCCCCACGGCGUGCGGCUUACCAAGAAGGGGGUGGACACCCCUGCGUGGCAGGCACAGGCCUGUCCCUGCUGCCAUACCCAGGAGGCAGGAAUUGCAGAAUCCGUUGCAUUUUCACAACAAUAACUGAGACGUGAAAACCUCUCCUCCAGCUGCCGCAGAUUGGAAAGGAUGAAAGUGAGGAUGGCCUGACCCACCUGCUUUAAGGAAUUAGAAACUCAGUGCAAAUCCCCAGGG